AUACACCUGCUGUGUGCGUGAAUUCGACUAUGUUUUGAGCCAACAUAUUUACAUUGGGAUUUCGAGUUUAUUUAUGGAAUAAAUGCCUUUUCACGAGGACUUAAGAAGUAAGUAACAGAAGACCCACCUGCUAGCGCAGGUUUCAAAACACUCGGAUCACGGCAUGGUGGGUAAAAU
rfam:Clostridium aceticum strain DSM 1496, complete genome.